GCCACUUUUGGAAUGAAAUUUGGGGUGAUCAAAAAGUUGCGCCAGCUGCGCCAAAACCCUACUACUACUUUCGAUUAGAGCGUGUUUUUCGUUCAGCCGAUCGACCUCAGGCUUUUGUUUUAGCCAAGCCAAUCACCGCACGUGUUAGUAUAUGCCAAUCAGCGCCCUCGACUGAAAUGUGUAAAGACCUAUCUAAUAUUAGCGUGGUAAAACGUUGCCUGACGUUUUCUUAUCGGAUUAAGAUGACAAGCUAAGUUUGAUGAGGCAGGAAGAUGGAUACAUCAAACUUAUUGAAGAUGGCAUGCUGCCAAGCCCAGAAGAUCUACACCAAAUACAACAAGUACCCCCGACCCCCCUUACUUUUACCCCCAAAUCAGGAAAAAUAGAUAUCAACAAUAUGACCCUUCCCUCUGAAAGCUGCGAGGAGAAGCUGCUGCUCCUUUCUGAAAAAGUAGACAGCUGCAAUGCAGCUAUAAGUGUACUUCUGGAUAAAAUUAACAACAUGGAAACUACACAUCACCGUAUAUUAGAUCUACUCAGCCACACUUACACACCCACACCUACUCCGCAAACCAUCACAGCUGCUGUGCAAACAAUACCCAUUAUCAAAACAUCUGCAACUACACAAACCCCUCCAAUUUCCAGCACGACUGAUACAUAAACCACACAAACCCCUCCAAUUGCCACCACACCAUCAUUAACCACACAGACCACCCUAAUUGCCACCACACCAUCAUUAACCACACAGACCACCCUAAUUGCCACCACACCUGAAGCUUCAAUCACACAGACAACCACAAUUGCUACCACACCAUCAUUAACCACACAGACCACCCUAAUUGCCACCACACCAUCAUUAACCACACAGACCACCCUAAUUGCCACCACACCAUCAUUAACCACACAGACCACCCUAAUUGCCACCACACCUGAAGCUUCAAUCACACAGACAACCACAAUUGCUACCACACCAUCUGCUGUUACACCAUCAACAUCAUUUACAGACAGCCUUCCUGAUAUACAGUUUCCCUUUUUCCCUGUAUUACCAUCAUAUUCAUCACUUAUCUUGGAUCCUUCACCACCUGAUCAUCAAGAUUCUUUUCACUUUCCUUCUUUUAAUAGUAGUAAUUGCUCUCUGCCCGCCAAACACUUUACCAGAUGACACUUUUCUUUAUAACUUAGGUAGUAUUUGUAAGUCCAAGACAAAUUUUGCAGUGAAACUUCUUUUGUGUUUGUACCCAAAUCCGGAUGAUUUAUUUAAUGUUAAUAUGAAUGGUGGGAAAGGAAAGAGGCCCCUUAAUCCCAUGGCCAAAACUUUUAUUUUUGAUUCUUUUUUCAAAGUCUUUCCUUCUGCAAAUAUCGAGGACCGCAAAAGAGAUUCGAAGGUUGUAACAAAUGCUAUCAAUUCCCACCUGGCAAAGUACAAAUCUAGGAAGUAAGACAGCACAAUAUUUCCUCCCGGGUAUUGGUGGACUUCUUCCAUGUUGACCUGACAGGGGUGCUCAUCAUAUUUUUCAGGGGUCAAAAUUAGGCCUCAAGUAUUAUUUAGGGGGUAUCAGAGAAAAAAAAUAGGCCUUUUUCUUAGAAAUGAUAUUUUUAUUUAGGCUUCUGAGGUAUUUUUUAGUGUAGCAAUUUUUGGUGUGCAGGUAUUUUUUAGGGGUAUUUUUCGAACUUCAUGGCGAGCAUCUCUAUCACAUUUGCCAUUGAGAAGCCCCCUGCCCCCCGGAUUUGCUCACCCUGCUAGGAUUUUGAACAUUUUUGUUUGUUUGUCCAUUUAACUACCUGGCUAUGAGCCGGAGAUUCAAAAGAAUCACUAGCUUGUGAGGAGAUGCAAGAGAAAACAAGAAGAAAUGGUCUGUCUUACUUCCUAGAUUUUGCAUCAUGUACAUUUCUUUUACCCAAAUGCCAUUAAAUUGAUAGAAAUUGUUUUAUUUUUGUCUGUAAUGAGGUUAACUAAAAUAUUACCUCAUCUGAAAGCUUUGUUCUUCAUUUUCGCCAGUCUCAUACUAUUCAAGUUCAACUUAAAGGGGGGGAAUGAAUGAUUUCUGGAUAGUGUAGUGCUUUCAAUUCAAGAAAAUAUUUUUAUUCUUUGAUGUUAUUGUAUUUAUACUGCUGUCAUGUUUGCCAAUGCCUUUAACUUAUUUAUUCAAACUAAUUUAUUCUUGUGUAAUUAUUUAUUAGGCAACAAUUAAUGACCAUUGACAGGCAGUUUAUUAAAUUGUAUUUAUUUAAUGGAAAUUAAAUAUUAUUAUCUUCAAUAAAAAAGGAAAUAGAAAAA